GAUGAACGCUGGCGGCGUGCUUAACACAUGCAAGUCGAACGGGAAUUACUUUAUUGAAACUUCGGUCGAUUUAAUUUAAUUCUAGUGGCGGACGGGUGAGUAACGCGUGGGUAACCUGCCUUAUACAGGGGGAUAACAGUCAGAAAUGACUGCUAAUACCGCAUAAGCGCACAGAGCUGCAUGGCUCAGUGCGAAAAACUCCGGUGGUAUAAGAUGGACCCGCGUUGGAUUAGCUAGUUGGUGCGGUAACGGCCCACCAAGGCGACGAUCCAUAGCCGGCCUGAGAGGGUGAACGGCCACAUUGGGACUGAGACACGGCCCAGACUCCUACGGGAGGCAGCAGUGGGGAAUAUUGCACAAUGGGGGAAACCCUGACGCAGCGACGCCGCGUGAAGGGAGAAGUAUCUCGGUAUGUAAACUUCUAUCAGCAGGGAAGAAUUAGGACGGUACCUGACUAAGAAGCCCCGGCUAACUACGUGCCAGCAGCCGCCGCGGUAA
rnacentral:rRNA from 1 species